rnacentral:lncRNA from 1 species
CCCUUCUUUUUUUAUUUUUUAUUUUUUUUUAUUUUUUAGAUUUUAUUUUUUAUUUAUUCGACAGAGAUAGAAACAGCCAGCGAGAGAGGGAACACAAGCAGGGGGAGUGGGAGAGGAAGAAGCAGGCUCACAGCAGAGGAGCCUGAAUGUCCCUGACAAAUUUCUCUAUUCUAGUUAAGAUUUUGGGGGGUCUAUCUUCUAUGAAAAGUGGUCUCUCCUAAGUGAAAGCACCUCAUAUAAGAGAAGGCUCAGUUUGCAGUCAAGAGAAUAAGCAGACAGCAAACUCUGACAUUCAAAGCGUUGAGUUGCAGCAACUAAAUGAUUCCUCUUUCUCUAGACCAAGUAAAAGCCGUCACACCUCAAGUCAGUAUCGUUAAUUGGACACCAACCAUCUAAGGAAACUCAGGUUCAAGCAUGGUGCUCACACAGACAUCCUGGCACAAAGAAACAAAAUAUUGAGGAAUGGGUCCAUACCUCAGACUGAGUGUUCAUCCUUCCUGGAGAGACAAGCAGUCACAUCUAAGUGAUAACCGUCAAAUGAGGGGGCUGAUCUAGGACACUGUUGAGAAUCUUUGCAUCAUUGCCAUGCCACAGUUUUCAUCUAGGCCUUUCCACCUGCUGGGAAUGGACUGGUUGCAUCAGGAAUGGACAAAUCACAAAUGAAUGCCAUUUUGCGUUUUGGUUACAUGGGAUGACUCAGAGAGAUGAGUGUUUUCAAGAAGAAUUUGCAGACUAAAGAUCGGCUAUAAGGAGUAGAAAACGAAGGAGGAAGAAUAGGAUGGUAAGAAGGCGUAUAGAAGGGAUGCCAGUGGUCAAGAGAGCCUUUCCGGAAGAAGCGUUAACCGAACGUGAGGCCGUC